UUUGGACAGCCCUCGUGAGGUUGCCGCCCAUAAACAAAAUGCACUCUUCCUCCUCCCCUCCGCGGCCCCUCCCCUAACUGCCCCUUCCCUCAUCUCUGUCAUCUUUGAUUGGCCUAAGAGAGACCCAAUCCGCUAUCUCAAGCAUCGACUGGUGGAUCGUGUGAAUGCCCAGGAACACUGUAAUAAAAGUGUGACAAUGGGAACAGAAGACAUGAAUGCAACCGACACAGAAUCCUCAUCAAUGAAAGCAGCUACAGAGUCAAUAAAUUACCACUAUGGAGCCCUCGGGUAUCAUCAGUAUAUCAAAUCUGCAUGUCUUAAAGAGAUGAAAGAAAUAAAGCAAUCCUAUCAGCUACUAGAGUAGAACUUUGAAUAUUAACUCUGAACUUUUUUGAAAGAAGGGUCAUGCAAUGUGCAGCAAGGUGUUUAUAAUGAUUUCACAGUCCGUCACCCUCUACCCAUACCUGUACCCACACCUUUUUGCCAUCAUAAGCUUUGAUAAGCAUUAAUAGACUCUGCAAGCUGUUUUCAUGGGGACUGGAGGGAGAAUGAUCAAUGAUUGGUCCAGACACAGUCCUUUAUCUGCAUGAAGGACUGAUAGAUUGGUUCAGACACUCUUGCCAUAUCUUCCUUCUGUCUGAACAAACAGACACCCUUCUGUGCUGUCCCUUGAUGCUACAACAUUAGGCCCCAAUUAAAGACAUUUUUUGAGUUGUC
ensembl:processed_transcript